CGGCCGCGGUCGACGGCGACCAACGAGCUGAUGAAGGACGUUGCGGCCUGCGAUAUGCCCCGGGGAGUUGGCGAGCGAGCUUUGAUCCGGGGGUGUCCGAAUCGGGGGAACCCGGCCCGGGUUGUGCUGGGCCACCAUCAUCUGAACGUGUAGUAGGGUGGUGGGGGGAACGCGGGGAAGUGGAACAUCUCAGUACCCGUAGGAAGAGAUAUUCCGUGAGUAGUGGCGAGCGAAAGCGGAUGAUGGCUUAAACCGUCGUGCGUGUGAUAGGCGGCGGCCGUUGCGCGCGGGGUGUUGUGGGGCCGGCCUGUUUCCCCUCUGCCGGGGGGUGGUUCCGUGUUGUCGUGGGAGUCGAAACGCCCUGGGAUGGGCGACCGUAGUGCGUGAUAGUCGUGUAGGCGGUUCCGCGGUGGCGUGGUUCGGGGUUGGUGCCCGAGUAGUGCGGGGCUCGUGGAAUCCCGUGUGAAUCCGCCAAGACCACUUGGUAAGCCUGAAUACUCCUUGGUGACCGAUAGCGCAUGUACGACGCGGACCG
rnacentral:rRNA from 1 species